rnacentral:lncRNA from 1 species
AUGGUCGUCUCAGAAAGCAGCGAAACUGUUUCAUCCUUGGAUUCAUUCCUCAUAACAAAAUUCAUGGAAAACAUCAGUGAGGAAGAACAAAUCAGUAUCAUCAAGGUGGCCUCAGAACUAGUGACAGCGAUUGGGCGGUGGAGAAUAUUGAGGAUGAAAUUCCUGAAGAGGAAGAAACCUCAGGUCCGGAAGCACAAUGAGGCGGGAAUCAACAGGAGGGGGUCCCUGGUGCAGUUGGAGUAUACCUGCUACUUUGUAGACUGAGUGGGCGGGAUGAAAUAAAGACGAC